GGGGCCAGAAUGUCCUUGAAAGUCUGCACCAUGAGCAGGGAUCCAGUCCUCCUCAUCGUCCUUCUUGUCCUUACUCACUGCCCAGGGUCCAGUUCUCAGGCUGUGGUGACUCAGGAGCCCUCACUGACCGUGAACCCGGGAGGGACAGUCAUUCUCACCUGUGCUUCCAGCACUGGAGCAGUCACUGAUGGUCACUAUCCAUACUGGUUUCAGCAGAAGUCUGGUCAAGUUCCAAGAACAAUGAUUUAUGACACAAACAAAAAACUCCCCUGGACCCCGGCCAGGUUCUCAGGCUCCAUCCUUGGGAACAAAGCUGCCCUCACAAUCUCGGGGGCCCAGUCAGAGGAUGAGGCUGAAUACUACUGUUGGCUGGUAUACAGUGGUGCUCGACACAUUGACACAUUUAGAUGA